UACAGAGGUGGCGAGCGUUACUCGGAUUUAUUGGGUGUAAAGGGCAGGUAGGCGUUUCAUUAAGUUAGAAGUGAAAUCCUAAGGCUUAACCUUAGAACUGCUUCUAAGACUGAUGGAAUUGAGACUAGAAGAGGAAAGCGGAAUUCCCGGUGUAAGGGUGAAAUCUGUAGAUAUCGGGAGGAACACCAGUGGCGAAGGCGGCUUUCUGGUCUAGAUCUGACGCUGAGCUGCGAAAGCUCGGGGAG
rnacentral:rRNA from 1 species